rnacentral:siRNA from 1 species
AACCGAAAUCAAGUGUUGUGUGGU